AACUUACCAGGUCAAGACAUGGGCGUGAUUGACAGGCUAAUGACUUUUCUCGAUUCCAUGGAUGGUGGUGCAUGGUCGCACUUAGUUGGUGCAGUGAUUUGUCAGGUUUAUUCCGGUAACGAACGAGACCUCGGCCUUGUAAAUAGCUAUGCUGCUUACAGGGACAUUGGCGGCUACGCCAAGGAAGCUCGAGGCAAUUGCAGAUCUGGAAUGCCCUUAGAUGUCCUGGGUCGCACGCGUGCUACAAUGACGCCACGAACGAGCUUGCGUGAUGAAAGUUACGCAUAAUCAGCAGUCGGCGUCUUAAGGGAUAGUCUCUUGUAACUGUGGGACUCCAACUAGGAAUGUCUCGUAAGCACAAGUCAACAUCUUGUGUUGAUUACGUCCCUGCUCUUUGUACACACCGCCCGUCGCUCCUACCGAUCGAGUGUUUAGGUGAAUUUGAUGGACGUAAGGAAGUCAAAUAAACCUGAGCACUAGAGAAGAGAAGUCGAGCAUGC
rnacentral:rRNA from 1 species